GGAUUACUCCUUUACGCUUUCGCGUUUGGUUGAUAAAGAUUCGCACCUCUAUCAAACCGGGUAAUCCCACCUCUUGGCAAGACCUGCUGUCAGAUCAAAUCUGAACUACUACAGCUUAUGAAACCUAUAUUAUCGCAGACGCCAUUAACCGUUUUACCGAUCGAAUCCAGGAAUAUGUCG
rnacentral:sRNA from 1 species